rnacentral:rRNA from 1 species
GCUUUUGGCAAGGUGCCUUCCGAGUUCCCUGGAACGGGACGCCAUAGAGGGUGAGAGCCCCGUCUGGUCGGACACCGAGCCUCUGUAAAGCUCCUUCGACGAGUCGAGUAGUUUGGGAAUGCUGCUCAAAAUGGGAGGUAUAUGUCUUCUAAAGCUAAAUACCGGCCAGAGACCGAUAGCGCACAAGUAGAGUGAUCGAAAGAUGAAAAGCACUUUGAAAAGAGAGUUAAAUAGCACGUGAAAUUGUUGAAAGGGAAGCGUUUAUGACCAGACUUGGCCCGGUUGAUCAUCCAGCCUUCUGGCUGGUGCACUCUGCCGGUCCAGGCCAGCAUCAGUUCGUCGCGGGGGAUAAAGGUUUCGGGAAUGUAUCUCCUCCGGGAGUGUUAUAGCCCGUUGCGUAAUACCCUGCGGUGGACUGAGGUCCGCGCUCUGCAAGGAUGCUGGCGUAAUGGUCAUCAACGACCCGUCUUGAAACACGGACCAAGGAGUCGUCUUCGUAUGCGAGUGUUCGGGUGUAAAACCCCUACGCGUAAUGAAAGUGAACGCA